rnacentral:lncRNA from 1 species
UAUUUGGAAGAUGUAUAUUGUUUUGAGUGAAGAUAUGAAGAGUAAGUGUAGAGUAUGAGUUGUGUGGGAUUAGAAGAAGAGAUUUGUAGAUAGAGGUUGAUAGAUGAGAAGUGAAUGAUAGGUAUUGAUUUGAGGAUGAUAUAAAUGCAUGGUUCAUAGUAUGUUGACCAUGUCCGAUAUUUGGAAGAUGUAUAUUGUUUUGAGUGAAGAUAUGAAGAGUAAGUGUAGAGUAUGAGUUGUAUUGGAUUAGAAGGAGAGAUCGGUUGAUAGGUGAGAAGUGAAUGAUAGAGAGUACGUGGAAUUGAGUCCAGUUAUUAGAGAUGAUGUCUACGAGUAAGUUAGAAUGUUAAUUCUCGACGACUACGCUUUAAGUUAAGCGGGACAAGGUGGGCCCAUAACCCACAGGGCGACGAUUCUGAAAAUCGAAGAUAUGCUACGUGUUGUGCUAUGGACUUCAAAGGCAACUGGGUGAAACAUGAGAACGUGAACUACUUGGGCCAGACUUAUUACGAACUAUAACGUCUACGAUGACAUCUUACGAGGCUAUUACGAAUCAACAUCGAUCGAUUAUCGAGAACGUUGAAAAGAAGACAUAUAUCGAACAAUGAUUUAUUGAAGCAGAGCGAAAAUCUGAGAAGACCUUGGCAAUACCUCUCUUCAACUAAGAUUCUUUUGUAUUGUUUUUCUCAUCAGUGAGAUAUUAUCAUGAUAUCUUUUCUACAAAAGUUUUGAUAAAUGAGAUCUUCAAUUUCUCAAAUUCUAAGAUGACAUUGAUAUUGAUGAUUGGUAUGAAUUGGAAAACAAAGAUGUGUGAUAAAGGAUUGUUGUGAAGAGACAGUGAUUUUC